CCGUUCGCUAACUAUGAGGAAGCGAACCAACUGUGACGAAUGUGAUUGGUCGAAGCCUUUGCGCUAGCUAGCUUGCUAGCGGGAGCGGAUUUAUGGAUCAAAAGUUAUCAUGACAAAACAUCAAAGACGACAUGCACUUGCUCGGGGUUGCUGAACAAGAAGGCUGCCUGAGGGGCUGCAGACAGCUGCUCAGAGGGGGAAAAACUCCUGACAAAGCCGCAUUUAUCCACGGUCCCGAGGGAGCCUCAGCCCGAAAAAAGCAGCGACGGAAUCAAUGCAUCGCAGCAGACCGGAGCGGGGAUGUGGACAGACGAGCUUGUCAGCAGCUGUUUCAGUCCGCUGCUCGGUGUGGAUAAGCUCUGUCAUGGCCUACCUAAUGGUAAUUGUUCAGAGCGGUGAUAGCCCAUCGUCUCGUCUGCACGCUGGUGUCUCAGGGGUUUGGAGUGGAGGCGACUGCGAAGGGACGAGAGCCAAGGGGGGAGGACGAGGGUUGUUACAGGGGAGACGAGAUUUUCUAAUUUCUUCCAGAUUUGUUACAAGACAUAUGGAUGUGUUGUCAGUAAUAUCUAUAAAAGGAGGCAAGUAAGGGGCGGUAUGAAAAUUAUUAGGGGGGAGAAGGUCAGAGAAGAGGAGAUGGAGUUUUCUUUUCUUUUUGUUGCAGGAAGGGUGGUCUGCAUUUUUUGGGGGGAGGCCAGGGGACGUUUUUUCUUUGUUUUCUCACCUCAGACUUUUAUUGGAGUUCUGUUCCAGAAGUAAUAAAACCCAUUGACCUUUGUAAUAAUGCAACUUAUUACAAAUCAAACUCUGGAACAUAACCUCGCUCGUCACGUAAGUUGCUCGGUUCUCGCCAUAAAUGAACACGGUAACUUAAAAAAAGGGGUUGCCACACAGGAAUUGCUUAAAAUCAGUAUUUCUUUUUUAAUAUUUUUGGUACAACGGACAUAAUUUCCCAUAUAGUCUUCGAUGUUAAGGCUGGACAGAGGAGGUUGAUUCUCAGAGGGGCGAGAGUUUUGCGCUGUGACAGUAGUUUUUUGUACGUUCACAGAGUAAACAUUUUGAAGUGUUUGUUUAUAACAGUAAGUGCUGUCGUGGUUGUCUGUUUGCUGGUUUUUCAGCUUCAGUUUCCUAGAACAUGGAAAAUAAACUUCAGGAACAUGUUGUUUUUUUGCAGUAAGAAAUAAAAGCUGC